rnacentral:tRNA from 1 species
GAGGACAUGGUGUAAUAGGGAAGCAUAAUACGACUUCAAGCGUAAGGUGUAGGUUCGAUCCCUACUGUCCUCC